rnacentral:lncRNA from 1 species
AACUCUCUGCCCGGAGAGAGGCCCGACAGCUGCGACCCGACUGGUUCUGUCCGAGCCCGACGGGCCGCGCUGACCCAGCGACUGUGCCUGACUGACCACAGGUGCCGCCACCGCCUGAUAAUACGAGUGUGUCAGCUUCCGUCUGACUGAACGCAGGUUUCAUGGGUGCCUGACAGACCAAGACUGCUGGAUCUGUCAGCCUGGCCGCAGCUGGCUGACUGGCUGACUGGCUGGCUGGUUGACUGGCUGGCUGACUGGCUGCCUGGCUGGCUGGCUGGCUGGCUGCUCUUGCCCGGCCGCCAUCUGGGCCUGACGGGCUGCGUCUGACCGGGCGGCCUAUCUGCCUCUGCCUGACCAGCCUCCAUCUGUGCUUGGCGAGCUGUGUGACCGGCCGCGACGGUCUGUGUCUGACUGAGCACAAGGUUCCUAGCGGCCGAUCAGCUGCUUGACCCCAUCUCUGCUGAGCCGGCCGACACCGACGGAUUGACUCUGGCAACGCCUGGCCCGAGUGGCGCUACCGGCUUCCAGAGACUUCCUGACCCCUGCCGAGGUUGCACCGCUCAGCGCUGCCCUGUGAGGCGCUGACUGUGGCCGCAGCUGAGUGCGGCUGCCCCUUCACAGACAGGGCGUGCAGAAUGACGGUCGCCUGGCUGUCCCUCCCUAGGCGCCCCUGGCUAGCUCGGCUUGCCUGGCAGCGUCUGUGUCUGAGGGACGUGUUGGUGGCCGCCGCUGGCCGCAUCUGUCCCCCUGCAGGUGGGCAUCAGGUUGCCCCCGUGAAGUGCAGCUGGGGCCGAGCCUGGCUGAAGGACGGCCACCUUCUCUCCAGCUGUCCAGCGAGGGCUUCUGAGGUGGUGCCCUCCGGGGCUCUGUGGCCUGGACCUCUCCAGCCACACACAGUCAGAGCCUUAGGGGAUCCCAAGCAAGGGCACCCACAGGGAAGAGAGCCUAAGACAGAGGCCAAGGGACAGGCAGGCAGCAGGGGUGGGACUUCGGGCCAGGCGAGGAACAGCUGGAAGAAGCUCCGGGGCUGGGAGGAGGCCGCAGGACCUUGAGGUGCCGGAGUUUAGGGAUCCGAUUCUGUAAGGGAGGCAGCACCUUGAGGAGUUGGGUUGGUGUGUGGGGUCCUCAGGACACGAUCCCUGACUUUGAAUACCUUUUUUUGCGGGUUUUGGGGAAAUCUCUGUCAGUGCCUUGCUGCUCUGCAGAAGGGUCAUCCCGCAGACCUCAGAUCUCUUCCCGAAUUAAUUAAUUUAUUUAUUUUUAUUUAUUUUUUUCUUUUUUUGAGAUGGAGUCUUGCUCUGUCGUCCAGCCUGGAGUGCAGUGGCCCGAUCUUGGCUCACUACAAACUCCGCCUUCCAGGUUCAAGCGAUUCUCAUGCCUCAGUUUCCCAGGUAGCUGGGAUUACAGGUGUGCGCCACCAUGCCUGGCUAAUUUCUGUAUUUUAGCCGGGGGUUUGUAGAGACAGGGUUUUGCCAUAUUGCCCAGGCUGGUCUCAAACUCCUGGCCUCAAGUGAUCUGCCCACCUUGGCCUCCCAAAGUGCUGGGGUUACAGGUAUGAGCCACUGCACCCAGCCUCUUCCUGAAUUUAAAUCUCUCCCAGCCUGUGUGUGUGUGUGUGUGUGUGUGUGUGUGUGUGUGCCAGCCACACCAACCACAUGCAAUGGCUUCCCCCCUGGAAGGAGUUGUUCUGUACCAGAAUAAGGGGGAAGGAAAUACUGGUCAGAGGGAUUUAUUUUUUUAAAGCAAGCAUGGGUAUGCUAUGAGUUAUUGCUAUUAAUAAUAAUACAAUGAAAGCAUCAGACUAGUUUAUUUCGAACUAGCUCUAGCAUGCUAA